GACGAACGCUGGCGGCGUGCUUAACACAUGCAAGUCGAACGGAAAGGCCCUGCUUUUGUGGGGUGCUCGAGUGGCGAACGGGUGAGUAACACGUGAGUAACCUGCCCUUGACUUUGGGAUAACUUCAGGAAACUGGGGCUAAUACCGGAUAGGAGCUCCUGCUGCAUGGUGGGGGUUGGAAAGUUUCGGCGGUUGGGGAUGGACUCGCGGCUUAUCAGCUUGUUGGUGGGGUAGUGGCUUACCAAGGCUUUGACGGGUAGCCGGCCUGAGAGGGUGACCGGCCACAUUGGGACUGAGAUACGGCCCAGCCUCCUACGGGAGGCAGCAGUGGGGAAUAUUGCGCAAUGGGCGGAAGCCUGAUGCAGCAACGCCGCGUGCGGGAUGACGGCCUUCGGGUUGUAAACCGCUUUCGCCUGUGACGAAGCGUGAGUGACGGUAAUGGGUAAAGAAGCACCGGCUAACUACGUG
rnacentral:rRNA from 1 species